GGCGGGUGGGAGGGUAAAUAAUUUCAAUGAAAAAUUUCAAAUGUACCGCGAAUCCCGAAACAAAGAAAUAUAUAAGAGCGUCCUGUAUCCAGGUAACAAAUUGACCAAUCAAAAUAAGGAAUACUCGAAACAAUUUCUUCCGAGUAAAUGUAAACAGUGAUUCACGUGGUAAUUAUCCAUUUUUAUAAAAUCAAAAAUUACACAAUUACCAGGCUUCUCACAAAAGAAAUCAAAGUUACUCAAUUUUAUUACGGCACAAUAUAUACACAAGACAAACAGAUAUAUUUCACAGCACAGGACAAACACUCGACUAAACCACUGACAGUCGCAUAUAACAUGUAAAGUUAAUGUUAAAGAGCAAAUAUAGCGUCUAGCCAUUAGAAAUGAUAAAUAUAUUCAUCCAAACAGCUCGAAUAAACACAUGAGCUAGCCGCCAAGCCAACGGCCGCCAAAAAAUAAACAAACAACUGUGUUGAACAAAGAAUUAAGCAGAUUAAUUUUAACUAUCAUAUAAACAAUACACAAUUUAAGCUUGUUAAUCUAGCAUGCAAGAAAUAAUAUCAAGCAAAAACUAAAUAAUUAAAGCAAGCAAGGAAGAAACAAUAUCAACCCUGAACAUAAACUUUUCUCCAUACAAGAAACAAUAUCUCAUAUGAAAAGAAACAGCACCCAACAGUGUGAACAAUACUCACUGAAAAGAGUCCCUUACCUGCAAUAUAAAAUAAAAAUAUUAGUACAUAUUAAUAUAAAUAAACCCAACUACAUCUUAACCAAAC
rnacentral:lncRNA from 1 species